rnacentral:rRNA from 1 species
UACGUAGGGACCAAGCGUUGUUCGGAUUUACUGGGCGUAAAGGGUGCGUAGGUGGCGCCGUAAGUCAGGUGUGAAAUUUCGGAGCUUAACUCCGAAACUGCAUUUGAUACUGCGGUGCUUGAGGACUGGAGAGGAGACUGGAAUUUACGGUGUAGCAGUGAAAUGCGUAGAGAUCGUAAGGAAGACCAGUGGCGAAGGCGGGUCUCUGGACAGUUCCUGACACUGAGGCACGAAGGCCAGGGGAGCAAACGGG